AACGAACGCUGGCGGCAGGCUUAACACAUGCAAGUUGAACGUGAUUUGCUGGGUGCUUGCACCGAGCAAUGAAAGUAGCGCACUGGUGAGUAACACGUGGGAACGUACCUUUUGGUGGGGAACAACAGUUGGAAACGACUGCUAAUACCGCAUAAGCCCACGGCCCGGCAUCGGGCUGAGGGAAAAGGAUUUAUUCGCUUCAGGAUGGACUCGCGUCCAAUUAGCUAGUUGGUGAGGUAACGGCCCACCAAGGCGACGAUUGGUAGCCGGACUGAGAGGUUGAACGGCCACAUUGGGACUGAGACACGGCCCAG
rnacentral:rRNA from 1 species